UACGUAGGAUCCGAGCGUUGUCCGGAAUUACUGGGUGUAAAGGGCGUGUAGGUGGGUUCCUAAGUCGAUGGUGAAAUCCUGCAGCUUAACUGCAGAACUGCCCUCGAUACUGGGGAUCUUGAGUGCGGCAGAGGGAGAUGGAAUUCAUGGUGUAGCGGUGAAAUGUGUAGAUAUCAUGAAGAACACCGGUAGCGAAGGCGGUCUCCUGGUCCGCAACUGACACUGAGGCGCGAAAGCGUGGGGAGCAAACAGG
rnacentral:rRNA from 1 species